UGCGUAGGGUGCGAGCGUUGUCCGGAAUUAUUGGGCGUAAAGAGCUCGUAGGCGGUCUGUCGCGUCGAUCGUGAAAACUUGGGGCUUAACCCUGAGCUUGCGGUCGAUACGGGCAUGACUGGAGUUCGGCAGGGGAGACUGGAAUUCCUGGUGUAGCGGUGAAAUGCGCAGAUAUCAGGAGGAACACCGGUGGCGAAGGCGGGUCUCUGGGCCGAUACUGACGCUGAGGAGCGAAAGCGUGGGGAGCAAACGGG
rnacentral:rRNA from 1 species